GGAGUGUGUUACUGUUGCACCCCGGAUUGAGGGAGGAAAAAGACCUGGAGAGUAUGUUCAGUGUUAUACCUGAGAAUUGAAUCUCUAACUGCAAAGGAACCUGAGAAAUGUCAGCUCUGUGUAUGUACCCAGAGAGAAAAGGGAAUACCGAAUGAACAACCGGAAGACUUCUGUCUCCAGAACUUGCUUCCAAAGGAUCCAGGGAGAAAAGUGGCAUGAAGGCAACUAAAAGACACGAACCUCCUUUCCAGAUGUGAAUCACUGAAGGCUCAGAGAAUUCCCUUGUCUACGUGGCUUGUAUAGAUUUGGAAGCAGGGGAAUUGGGUCUGGAGGCCUCAGAGUUGUGUGUAUUGUUGGGGUUCAAACGCUAACGCUACCACAUUUUGUUGUUAUAAUGGUCAUUGUGCUGGAUCUUUGUGGUCUCAACUUCCCCAUCUAUCAAAUGGGGGUAAUAUCCUCUCACAUAGUGGAUAUGAGGAUUAAAUAAGCUGAUAUAUUCUCUCUCUCUCCUUCCCACUUCACCACCAUGUUUGUGUGUGAUGCUGGGAACUGAACCCAGCAUUAUGUUAGGUAAGUACUCUAUCAUUGAGCUAUAUCCCAUCCCUAAAUGAACCAAUUCUUAUAAAGUGAUUAGAAGAAAUGCUUAGCAUUUAGUAAGUGCUUAGUAAAUAUUGUCAAUUAUUGUUAAUAUUUUAACAAUAAUGUUUAAAUUGUCCAGAGAGAGAAUGCAUUUUAUGCAUGGAUGGGUCACAUAAGAUACUUGAUGUCAUAUGGAAAGGGAUUUGGUUAGGUCAGAGGUCACUUUGACCCUGGAAGCUUUUCUGUUGAAGAGAUAUAACUUGAGCCUUCACAGUCAAAUGGUGAGUUUGCCUCUAUAUAGAUUCUCUUACAGUAGGCAAGUCCAUCUUCUGGAAGCAGAAGUUUUUAUUGAGGACUGAAAUAUAGCCACCAGAUUGCAAAAUGUAGCUCAAUGGUAGAGAACUUGCUUAGCAUGUUGAGACCCUAGA